rnacentral:rRNA from 1 species
UACGAAGGGGGCUAGCGUUGCUCGGAAUCACUGGGCGUAAAGGGUGCGUAGGCGGGUCUUUUAAGUCAGGGGUGAAAUCCUGGAGCUCAACUCCAGAACUGCCUUUGAUACUGAAGAUCUUGAGUUCGGGAGAGGUGAGUGGAACUGCGAGUGUAGAGGUGAAAUUCGUAGAUAUUCGCAAGAACACCAGUGGCGAAGGCGGCUCACUGGCCCGGUACUGACGCUGAGACGCGAAAGCGUGGGGAGCGAACAGG